UACGGAGGGUGCGAGCGUUGUCCGGAAUCAUUGGGCGUAAAGGGCGCGUAGGUGGCCCCUCAAGCGUGCGGUGAAAGUCAGGGGCUCAACCCCUGAUCGGCCGUGCGAACUGGGGAGCUUGAGCACUGUAGAGGCAGGCGGAAUUCCGGGUGUAGCGGUGGAAUGCGUAGAGAUCCGGAAGAACACCGGUGGCGAAGGCGGUCUGCUGGGCAGUUGCUGACACUGAGGCGCGACAGCGUGGGGAGCAAACAGG
rnacentral:rRNA from 1 species